rnacentral:rRNA from 1 species
AACGAACGCUGGCGGCAUGCCUAACACAUGCAAGUCGAACGAUGCUUUCGGGCAUAGUGGCGCACGGGUGCGUAACGCGUGGGAAUCUGCCCUUUGGUUCGGAAUAACAGCGAGAAAUUGCUGCUAAUACCGGAUGAUGACGUUAAGUCCAAAGUUUUAUCGCCAGAGGAUGAGCCCGCGUAGGAUUAGCUGGUUGGUGUGGUAAAGGCGCACCAAGGCGACGAUCCUUAGCUGGUCUGAGAGGAUGAUCAGCCACACUGGGACUGAGACACGGCCCAGACUCCGACGGGAGGCAGCAGUGGGGAAUAUUGGACAAUGGGCGCAAGCCUGAUCCAGCAAUGCCGCGUGAGUGAUGAAGGCCUUAGGGUUGUAAAGCUCUUUUACCCGUGAUGAUAAUGACAGUAGCGGGAGAAUAAGCCCCGGCUAACUCCGUGCCAGCAGCCGCCGUAA